rnacentral:lncRNA from 1 species
UGCCUUUGAUGCGUGGCCUAACUAUCUACUUCGGGGGGAAAAACUUGUGGAUUCCCCUUAAGUAUGAGAAUCUGCCCAUAUUUUGUUAUAAAUGCGGUAUUAUUGGGCAUCACACUCGCGUUUGCGAGAAAGAUUCUGACAGUGAUGAAGACGGCAAACAUUUCGAGGAUCUUCUUUAUGGUCCAAAACUCAAGGCGUCACCUCUCAAACGCAUAAGGCCCCCGAUCGUGCAUAGCUCUCAUCCUCACCAUCACAAACCCCAGCCUACCCAUCCACAUCCAAAUUCCGAAGAAAAUUGGCCUCACAUUCCCCAUUCAAGACGACCACG